UGUCGGAGCUCUCACACUAUGGCGCUUUUUUGUCAUUCUAAAGUUCAAUAUUGUUUAAUUUCCUAUCUCAUGCCUGAUGCAUGUAUAUGGCGAGAUGUUCUUUUUUUCUCAGAUAAUGAAAUUAAGUAAUGAAAUACGACAUAUGACGUGAUAUGGAGACGAAAAUAUUUGCAGGAUCGGUGGCUAUCACCUCACUUGACAGCUACUGAACACGAUGUUUAUUUAGGAGCGACGCCUUGUUUGAAACUGCAAAAACAGACGGCAAUUGGAUUUUUAAGCCUGUAAAUAAAGGAGAACAGGAGGGGAGAAAUGGUCCAUGCAAAUGACCUCGCUUCUCA
rnacentral:lncRNA from 1 species